rnacentral:rRNA from 1 species
UACGUAGGGGGCGAGCGUUGUCCGGAGUUACUGGGCGUAAAGCGCACGCAGGCGGUCUGCUAAGUUUGGAGUGACAGUUGGUGGCUUAACUGCCAAAGUGCUUCGAAAACUGACAGACUUGAGGGCUUCAGAGGGACACGGAAUUCCGGGUGGAGUGGUGAAAUGCGUAGAGAUCAGGAGGAACACCAAUGGCGAAGGCAGCUCGCUGGGACGGUACUGACGCUGAGACGCGAAAGCGUGGGGAGCAAACAGG